GAUUCUCCCUCAGUAGCCUGUACAUCAGGGCGAUUAAAAAUAAAGUAAAAGGCGAUGCACGCACUGUUCUCUGAGCGAAUGGAAACCCGAACACCAUAGACUGGAUUAAGAAAGUGCUAAUUGAAAAUUAUGGUGACGAAAAAGAUUUGACGACCAAUUUAUCAACAUUAUUCCGUAUAAGAAAAGGCGACAAGAGCAACCUUCGCUUCUAUAACGAGGUGAAGGAAACGAACACUCGUCUUAAGGCUAACCUCCAGUCUAAUCCCCUCACAGCCCAUGAAAUAAUCGAAAUCAUCACAGUUGCUAAAUAUUUAGAUAAUAUCCCAGAGCCACUUAGCUCUAUUAUAAGAAAUUCAAAGCCGAAAACCCUAGAAGAAGCGCAUCAGGCGGUUCUUCUAAAUCAGAAUGCGGAAACUCGAGUUAAACAACCCCAUCCAAGUCCUAACAAUUCCGGCAGAUUCCAAAACAAAUCUUUCAAACCACAGCAUUUACAAAACGUUGCAACCAACAACUCAAAUCAGCCGCAGGCUAGCUCUUCGAAAAAUAAAACCGUUCUACAAUAAGCCAAGGGCCGAGACUAAUCACACGGAGGAGAAUGAUAUAUGAGUGAACCUGAAGAAGAGGAACAGAAGGAAGAAUACGAUACAUUGGACAGUGACGCAGAAUGCGAUGAGCUGAAUUUUCAGAAGGUCACGAACAAAGAACGACCGAUUUAAACUUUAUACCAUACCUGGGGUUUCCUACCACAAAAGGGUACCUCAACUUUUUAAUCGACACUGGGGCUAAUAAAUCAUAUAUUAACCCCGAACAUGUUAAAAAAUCUUCCGAUUGUUUCAAAUCAAAAUGGCAAGUUCCUUAUUGACAAGGUAGUUCAUGCUAACCUCUUUUCGGAGGCAUUUAGCUCCCCUAUCAUAACAUAGCCUCGGUGAAAGCCUUGAUUGACUCUAAAAAUCACCAGCUUGUAGUAGGUGAUAAAAGGUAUCAACUCGCGCGAUAUUAUCCCUCUUCGAUGAACUUUCAUGAACAGACCGAUCAGAUGGUAACCAUUUGCACUACGGCAGAAGGCACAUUUCUAAUUGAGGUAAACCUCACCCCAAGCAUUUCGCUUAAACCUGAAUUCCGCCAUCAAAAACUGAUGUUCACGCACGAGGUUAAGCAUCGAAUUGAAACUAGCGAUGAUAAACCAGUGCACCAAAAAACCUAUAAAUACUAUUAGCAAUAGGAUACGUUGGUGAAACUAGAACCAGCGUACACAUGACGUUGGCUCAAGGAGUUGGACGUUAUGAAUCCUGUUUCGUUAUUCCUUUCACUAUCGUUUUGAGGGAAUGGGUGUCUUUUCAGUACAGAUGCAAGUGCGUCAUGGCACAGUAAGACCCAGGCAGAAAAUUGUAGUAUAUAAGAUAUUGUAGGUAAAAUAAAGUUAGUUCUUAGCUUCAUCUCAUGUGAGUCGGUCCUUGGAAUCCGAAAGCACCAUAGCACACUUCCUCUUGUUAAUGUUCGGUUCACCCCAAACAUUUUGGUGUCACUCCAGAGAGGAAAACUAGUUAAUUCAUUAUCGGAAGUGUCGCGACGUUGAUGGUAUUGUCGGCGCCCAAAGAUCGACAAGUGUACAGGGUGCGGCAGGAAAAAAUGCGAAAAGUUCAAGGCACUAUUACACGCUAAAUAUGGGAUAUAUAUGACUAUUUUUUCAUGACAGUGUAUCAAUCAAUGUCUAUAUUCUAGCACUGAAAAAUAAAAAUGAACAUAUUUGAUGUUUAACAUGUGAUAAUGUAGGCCUAAUAAGCGGAUAUCAAUAAACUGCGCGCCCAAUGGUCAUUAAACAAAAUGACUAUAACAGUAUCAAAAUUAGCUCAAAUUCGAUGAACAACCAGACCACACUGAUCCAGAGCCAUGUAGUUUCACAUACCAGAUGAAAUAAGUACAUAUAUUUGAUGGUAUUGUAGAGAAAAUCAAAAAUUUUGUUUUAUCAGAUGCGAAAUUUAGCGACCUGUGCGAUUUUCUGCGGUUUGAAAAUUCUGGUUGUCUUCAUCUUCAGGCGCUGCCCUGUAAAGGUUAGUGACCAAAAUGGGAAUUUUUUUAAUUAACUUUUCAGAAAACUAGCCUAUUAUAGAUCAUGGAACGUUGAAACAUAGAUUGGUUAAUGUCAAAUGGACGAAAAUGAGGUUUGAAGUUGAAAAACACUUUCGCAUUUUUUCCUGCCGCAUACUGUACGGGAUUUAUCGUGAGUGAAAUUAGAACUCCGGCAGUAAAUUUGUCGUUAUAAAGAACAGUUAAGUGAAAAGUAAGAGUGAAAAACCUCGUAAGUCGCUGAGCCGCAGAUGGUUGCAAGAAGUGAGACUAAUUAAGGCACGUAAGUAAAAACGUGCUUCAAGUGAAGUGAGAACUGAGAAGAGUGGUGAAACGUGAUAAAAAAAAAACAAAAAAAUUGACUUCGUAAGACGCCGUGUCGCAGAGUCAUAAUAAUAAAUAAGUGAGAAGCUGGACCCAUUGUACAAUGGCGGAAGCAAAAGUGUUUAGAUUUGUGGACAAUAAAAAAGGAAAUUGCCGUUUGUGUGAGGAGACCGAUAAGAAAGACAACAUGGUAUCCUGCGACGAUUGUGAUAGGUGGUUUCACCUGUCAUGUGUGAACCUCUUUGUCCAAAGUGUGAGUAUCUGGAAAACGAAAGAGUAGGCUUAUUGAAUAUCAAGAAGAAGUUCGAUAUAGCAAAUCAACUCAAUGAGUCACUGAAGCUUCAGCAGGAUGUGGCAAACCGCCGUGAAGGAGAUAACAAUCUAAGUGCAAGAAGGCAGGCGUUAAUUAAGCUGCCAAAGUUUAAUGGCGAAGCUCGUGAUUGGCCCAAAUUUAUUAGUAUUUUCAACGAUACUACCGUCGAAGGCCAAUUCACAAAUCUUGAAAAUUUAUCAAGAUUGGAAGAAGCUCUGUAUGGCGACGCAGCCAAGAGCGUGUUAAAUUUACAGAUUGGGGCUGCAAAUGUACCUAAAAUAUUGAAACGGCUUGAGGAUGUUUAUGGAAGGCCGGAGACUAUUUAUCAACAAUUAUUGCAUGAGAUGAUCAAGACUUUAAUCAAGACUGACGUCCAAGAUUUGAUUAAUUUAUACAAAACCACUGCAACAAGUACGAUACCUCGACAAAAUAAAUUCCACAUGAUAUGUAAAACUAUCAGAAGAAAAAUUAGAGGAGAGGCUAAUGACGCAUUAGUCUCAUCUGACGUAAAGACUGGUAUUCAAUCAAAAAAAACUUUACACACCUAUUAUGAAGAAAAGAGAGAUCCGGGAAAUCUCGACUAUCAGUUAAUGGUAGGAUAUCAAAAAGGCAGAUCAUUGGAAAUCUAUUACGACGAUGUCAAUAGAUACCUUUCUUUAAUUGCAAAUCUGAUUAAAACAGAUGACAAAUAGAGUCACCCUGAAGCCAAAUCAGCAAUGAUCGACAUGUACAACGAAAAGGCCAUUGAUGCAUUUAUGCAAGGAUUAGACGGAGAUAUCGGAAAAUUCCUGAAAAAUUACCGUCCAGAUUCGCUAGCAGCUGCCUACGCUUACUGUAUCACAUUUCAGAAUAUUGAGUUUAGGAAGUCACUUACUAAACCCAAUAUACCUCAUGUUUACAACGGACCUCGUAACCAAAUUCCUAAUCAACCAAGAAUUUCUCCACGGUUACCUCCACGAAUCCCUAUGAGAUUCCCUCCUCAACCAUUUAGAAAUCCUUACAUGUAUCGACCAGAUCCAAGAAACUUUCCACAGAGACCACCAUUUCAACCUUUCAGGAAUAAACCACAACUUCAAAAUGAACCGUUCAGACAAUCAAAUAACGGUCAACCUUUUCCAAACCAGCCUUUCAGGAAUUAUGGACCACCAAUCCCUGUAAGAAACCCAAACCCAGUGCUUAUGGAAGUUGAUUCAUCCAUCGGAAGCAGAUAGAUCAAUUAUAGCAACAGGCCCCAAAAAUCAUUUAGACAUCCGUUGAAACGCCCUAGGCUAAACAAUAUCACAACUGAAGAAAACCAAUAAUAUUUCGAAUAUCCCGAAGACUUUUAUGAACUAGAGGAUCAAGAAUAUUAUUUCGACAACGUAUACAUCCCUGAAGAGUAUCCAAAAGAAGAAGAAGGAACGGCAGAACCGAUCCCUAGAGAAAAUAACGAAAACAAGAUCGAAGUAUUUUUUAGGAUGACUUCCUCGUUACCUUACUUUGAGAUGUACUAUAGCUACCCAUGGGUAGCGAGAAGUACCCUAAAACUCUAAGAAUUUUCAUUGACACAGGAUCUAACAAAAACUAUGUCAGCAAAGAAAGUAUGUGUUGGCUAAGCCAAUUUUCAUACUUGAUGAGAAGACCAUUUACAGUACAUACUGUAGGAGGACCUAUCAAGAUAACACAAUUUUUCACCUGAAACAUGUUUAAUUACAAAAACGCUGUAAGAUUACCACCUGGAACCACUAAAAUCCUUCGAUGCCAUAUUAUGCCAUGACACACUAAACGAGUUAGGAGCACUUAUAGAUCUCGCCAAUAAAACUCUAACUGUAAAAAACAAGGUGAUACCUUUAUACCAACAACCGGUACAGGAAGCUUAACAAAUUCAAGUAUGAGAUAAUCACCUGUAGCAUAACCGUAUCUAUAAAGAAUCAUUUUUAGCAUGUUUUGAAAGAUCAUAAAAUAUUAAUCUUGACAGUUUACAACUGUCCAAUUUCAAGUAGACUUUCCCACACAUUUUCAAGAUAUCUUUUCCACAUGCAGGACUGACCUAACUUAACAGCGCACAGUUGAAACAAUCAUUUGUGUACGUUUACGUAGUUGUAUGGUAAACGCCCCUUUUCACGAUUAUCUUCUCUCUUUGGAUUGGCCAUCGUUGCUGUCGGAUGCAUCGAUUGGCUAUAGAUAUGCAGGUUGUUUCAGCCUUCUCCUGCAGUACUAGAUUAAGCAGUAGGUUAGCUCUAAGUUGAUUGAAAAAUAAAGUGAGAUUCGAUAAUCAACAGUCUUGUAAUCAAGUAAUAAGUGUCCGAACCCCAGAUGGCGACCGUUUGACAGUGAAAAUGGAGAUAUUUAGUGCGGAUAAAAUAGUGACAAACGCAAGUUCAAGUGAAAACCUAAUAAUAACAGGAACAUUGCUUUUCACCGUGCUAUUGUUAUUAAUUUUUGUAUGUAUGUAUGUAUGUAUGUACAUACGGGCGUACGGGAAAUAUUUGAAAAAAAGUGUAAGUGAAGUCGCGCGGCGGGAAGUGACUUUGGCAAAUAUGCGCCAAGUGUAGAGUCAAAAAGUAACACGUGAUAAAUUGUGCAAUGUCGGACAUUGAAGAGAUCCUUAGUGAAGUGCGCGAACGCGUACGGUUGGAACAGUUAAUAGAUGAAGAAGUGACUCGUUUCAAAACGAGCGAAGACUACAAAAAAUAUAAUGACUUUUCUGAACAGUCAUAUGUGCUAACCAUCGUUUAUGAGGAUAGCCAUAAUGAAACUAGUAAAACACGAGUGACGAUUACCAAGGUACGCGAAAAUAAAAACUCUUGCCUCAACAAAACGGCAAAGAAUAGGAAUCUGAAGAAAAUGUUACAAAAAGAAAAUCUAAUGUGUUUAAAUUAAAUUUCAAACAAGUGCGAUCCAACAAACAUUGAUACUGGCAGCACACGAACAGCUAACCGCUGCUCAAUCCACGUUUUCAAAAGGUCACUACCUCACCUAAGGAAGAGGUAAACAGUGCAAAUGAAAAUAAACAAAAUCUAACAGCGAAGACAAGUUGUGUAAUGGCAACCCGAGUGGAACAUCGAGGAAGACAAACAUGGUGUUUAGUUUCAACGAUAGCGAGCGACAACGACCGACCGAUCGGAUUAACGAAGGCGUAGCAGAACGAUGAGAAAUAUUUCUGCAUUUUACCACGCAAAAAAGGAGUAUUGUAAGUGAAACCAAUAAGUUUUAUAUAACAAGUAAUAAGUGUCCGAACCCCAGAGUUUUGCCUUGGACGACACAAGCACCAAAACGCCCAAUUAUUUGCUACUAAGUCUUUGAAAAGAGUUAUCUGGUACUUAGAAUCACGGAAGUCAAAAAUCAUUGGAUCGAUCAAACUUAUUUCCAAUCUGGUAAGCUAAGAAAACAAUCAACUAGAGACAAAACACACAAAUGUGGAAUUCAAAACAGAAUGAUAAAUCAAUAAAAGGGCAGAGGCUCGACCGACACUGACUAGUCAGUUGUAGGUAGUUAAUUGAUUGAAGUAGUUAGUUGUCCGAACGUCAUCCAAUUCGAAUGUAGGUUUUUGUAGUUUAAAAAAACGUUUUUAAACUAAAAAUUUAACUUACGUAGUAAAAGUGAACAUAAACGAUAAAUCAGUGAAACAGUUUUUAUUACAGGAUUGUCUGUAUACAAGUUAGAAACUCGAUCAAUCAUGAGCUAACUAAUGAUGUAAAAAGGAUGAGCAUAGCUUCUGAACGAUACACAUAUAAUUAGGUUUUUCGUAUGAAUCACAAAAAAAAAAUGUAAGAAGAGGAUGCGAAUGAUGUCUAGACGAGAGUAUAAAAGCAGAUCGAACAAUUAAGUCGGUAGCAGUUUAGCCUUGGACGACACAAGCACCAAAACGCUCACUUAUUUGCUACUAAGUCUUUGGAAAGAGUUAUCUGGUACUUAGAAUCACGGAAGUCAAAAAUCAUUGGAUCGAUCAAACUUAUUUCCAAUCUGGUAAGCUAAGGUUCCGAA